GAUGAACGCUGGCGGCGUGCCUAAUACAUGCAAGUCGAGCGAAGCGGGGACGGGUGAGUAACCCGUGGAUAACCUCCUAUAAGACUGGGAUAACUUCGGGAAACCGGCGCUAAACCGGAUACUUAUCAAUGGAUCCUCGCUGCAUUAGCUAGUUGGUUAGUUAACGGCUUACAAAGGCAACGAUGCAUAGCCGUCCUAAGAGGUUUAUCGUCCACACAUGAACUCAGACACGGUCCCGAUCCCUGCGGGCUGCAGCAGCAGGGAAUCUUCUGCAAUGGGCGCAAGCCUGACGGAGCAACGCCGCGUGAGUUAUGAAGGUUUUCGGAUCGUAAAACUCUUUUAUUAGGGAAGCGGUACCUGACCAGAAAGCCACGGCUAACUACGUGCCAGCAGCCGCGGUAAUAC
rnacentral:rRNA from 1 species